CCCUCGCCCCCCUUAGGUCAACAAGGCCCACUCUUCCAGAAAGGCCAGGCCUCGCGUCACCUCGCCCUCCCCUCCCCUCAGCGGCCCACCCAACCCCAAGAAGCCUCCAGCUUGACCUCACCCAUUCCCCCCUCUCACGCCCCCGCAGGUCUUUACGGCUGUGGGCCAGUACCUGUUAGCGGAUAGGAGGAUGCUGCGAAUCACGCUAGCCACAGGAACACCGCAACAACCUCACCCAACAAAGCCAGUCGUGCCUGAAUGCUCCGGUUUGGCAGAGCGCAAAUUUGUGCAAGGAUAACUAGAAGAGAUGAUCUUGAAUGCUAUCAUCACAAAGAAUUGGUCCAUCUCGAUCAAUGUGAAGAUAUGAAAAACAUCAGAAAGAGAAGAAUGUUGUCAAGUGUUGCCAGAGCACCGUAAAAGGCAAACACCACACCACAUUCUGCCCCCACGUAGAAUUAACACAAAAUAAUUUUGUAGAAAGGAAAGACACCUUAACUAACAAGGUUAAAUUUGAAAUUGGUGAAAAAAAGAAAAGCACAUACAUAUAUGAUCUAGAGACAGAACCCAUGUUUACAAGGGAGAAUAAAAAGUUACAUUUAUUGUAUGCCUGAAUUUCAUGGUUUCACUGUAUCAUAUUGGCUGUAUAUGGGACUAAUUUCUGAUUACAAAAAAGUCUUAUGCCAUUUGCAUAGAGAUUUGAAAACACAAGUCUAAAACGAAAGGGUUAUCAUCAUAAAUGCAUGUCUGUAAAUGUUUUCUAGAAUUGUGACCCCUUGGUGCUAUUGCUGGGCAGAGAAGUUACUUUCAGAAUUUAUUGCCUUUUUUAUGAAACAUAGAUUCUGGUAACACUAGCUCUAAAUGUCUAGUUACUCUAGACUGUUGUAAAUUUUAUGUCAAGAUAGGUUGCAAAAGGAGACAAAGGAAUAGAAUACCAUUUUUGGAGGGUAUUGAUGAGCCUAAAUUUGAGGCUCAAUAGAACAUCUAUAAACAGAGGCACAUUUCUAGUUACUAAAAGGCCAAAUUUUGAAUUAGAUCUUUUUUUGAAUUUGAACUUUUAUCCCAAAUGAGCAGUGUCAAAGGAAAUAUUUCACUAGACAAAGUUAAACAGCAGGGAAUACUUUAUCCAAGGGUAUUGCAAUUGUGGGGAGAGGCCAGCAUUCAAUCUGGGCUGUACUGUACAUAAAGAACUGAAGCAUUUUUAAGAUGUAAGGUAAGAGGAUCAUAGGCCACAUGUGUUUGCUAAUUGGCUUUACCGAAAGGAAAAAUGGACAUUUUAAUAUUUUUAUGGCAGGAAGUAGUUUCAUGUAGGGGUGGGUUGCCCCUACACACCUGUGGGUCUUUCUCGUAAGGUGGAACGAGAGACUUAGGAAAGAAAAAGACACAGAGACAAAGUAUAGAGAAAGAAAUAAGGGGACCCGGGGGACCAGCGUUCAGCAUAUGGAGGAUCCCGCCAGCCUCUGAGUUCCCUUAGUAUUUAUUGAUCAUUCGUGGGUGCUUAAAGAAAAGGGGGUUGUGUCAGGGUCACAAGACAAUAGUGGGGAGAGGGUCAGCAGACAAACACGUGAACAAAGGUCUUUGCAUCAUAGACAAUGUAAAGGAUUAAGUGCUGUGCUUUUAGAUAUGCAUACACAUAAACAUCUCAAUGCUUUACAAAGCAGUAUUGCUGCCCGCAGGUCCCACCUCCAGCCCUAAGGCGGUUUUUCCCUAUCUCAGUAGAUGGAGCAUACAAUCGGGUUUUAUACCGAGACAUUCCAUUGCCCAGGGACAGGCAGGAGACAGAUGCCUUCCUCUUGUCUCAACUGCAAGAGGCAUGCCUUCCUCUUAUACUAAUCCUCCUCAGCACAGACCCUUUACGGGUGUCGGGCUGGGGGACGGUCAGGUCUUUCCCUUCCCACGAGGCCAUAUUUCAGACUAUCACAUGGGGAGAAACCUUGGACAAUACCUGGCUUUCCUAGGCAGAGGUCCCUGCGGCCUUCCGCAGUUUUUGUGUCCCUGGGUACUUGAGAUUAGGGAGUGGUGAUGACUCUUAAGGAGCAUGCUGCCUUCAAGCAUCUGUUUAACAAAGCACAUCUUGCACCGCCCUUAAUCCAUCUAACUCUGAGUUGACACAGCACAUGUUUCAGAGAGCAGGGGGUUGGGGGUAAGGUUAUAGAUUAACAGAAUCUCAAGGCAGAGGAAUUUUUCUUAGUACAGAACAAAAUGGAGUCUCCUAUGCCUACUUCUUUCUAUACAGACACAGCAACAAUCUGAUCUCUCUUGCU